UACGGAGGAUCCAAGCGUUAUCCGGAUUUAUUGGGUCUAAAGGGUGCGUAGGCGGAUUGAUAAGUUAGAGGUGAAAUGUCCGAGCUCAACUCGGGAACUGCCUCUAAUACUGUUGAUCUAGAGAGUAGAUGCGGUAGGCGGAAUGUAUGGUGUAGCGGUGAAAUGCUUAGAGAUCAUACAGAACACCGAUUGCGAAGGCAGCUUACCAAUCUAUAUCUGACGUUGAGGCACGAAAGCGUGGGGAGCAAACAGG
rnacentral:rRNA from 1 species